UGGGGAAUAUUGCACAAUGGGCGCAAGCCUGAUGCAGCCAUGCCGCGUGUAUGAAGAAGGCCUUCGGGUUGUAAAGUACUUUCAGCGGGGAGGAAGGCGAUAAGGUUAAUAACCUUGUCGAUUGACGUUACCCGCAGAAGAAGCACCGGCUAACUCCGUGCCAGCAGCCGCGGUAAUACGGAGGGUGCAUGCGUUAAUCGGAAUUACUGGGCGUAAAGCGCACGCAGGCGGUCUGUCAAGUCGGAUGUGAAAUCCCCGGGCUCAACCUGGGAACUGCAUUCGAAACUGGCAGGCUAGAGUCUUGUAGAGGGGGGUAGAAUUCCAGGUGUAGCGGUGAAAUGCGUAGAGAUCUGGAGGAAUACCGGUGGCGAAGGCGGCCCCCUGGACAAAGACUGACGCUCAGGUGCGAAAGCGUGGGGAGCAAACA
rnacentral:rRNA from 1 species